rnacentral:rRNA from 1 species
CCUACGGGAGGCAGCAGUAAGGAAUCUUCCGCAAUGGGCGAAAGCCUGACGGAGCAACGCCGCGUGGGCGAUGAAGGCCUUCGGGUCGUAAAGCCCUUUUCUGUGGGACGAUAAUGACGGUACCACAGGAAUAAGCCACGGCUAACUACGUGCCAGCAGCCGCGGUAAUACGUAGGUGGCUAGCGUUAUCCGGAUUCACUGGGCGUAAAGAGCGCGUAGGCGGUGUGCUAAGUUGGACGUGAAAGCCCCCGGCUUAACCGGGGGAGGGCGUCCAAUACUGGUGCACUUGAGGGUGGACGGGGAAAGCGGAAUUCCCGGUGUAGUGGUGAAAUGCGUAGAUAUCGGGAGGAACACCAGUGGCGAAGGCGGCGCCCGGGCCGACACUGGACGCUGAAGCGCGAAAGCGUGGGGAGCGAACGGGAUUAGAUACCCCUGUAGU